GGUCAUUUAGAGGAAGUAAAAGUCGUAACAAGGUUUCCGUAGGUGAACCUGCGGAAGGAUCAUUAAAUAAAACUUGAGGGGAAACUGAGCUUACGGGCUUGGUUUUUCUCUUAUUUUUUACCGUGAACUGUCUUAUAGCAUGGCGCUMGUAGAGAUGCCUGAGCCACCAUACGGGGUAGGCGGCACAGGAUGAUUUUAAUCGAAGCCAUGGAUCAAGCCGACUUUUUUUNNCAGCUUGGUACCCCAAAAAUUAAUUAUUCUACCAAAUGAAUUCAGUAUUAAUAUUGUAACAUGGGCUCGCUGAAAGGUGGCCUAUAAAACAACUUUUAACAACGGAUCUCUUGGUUCUCGCAUCGAUGAAGAACGUAGCAAAGUGCGAUAACUAGUGUGAAUUGCAUAUUCAGUGAAUCAUCGAGUCUUUGAACGCAUCUUGCACCUGCUGGUAUUCCAGCAGGUACGCCUGUUUCAGUAUCAGAAACAACUCUUCCCUUAAGAUUUUUUUCUUAAGGGGACAUUGAGGGUAUCUGGCUUAGAAGUAAAAUCUCUAGCCCGGAGACGCUUUAAAUGACUAAAGGCCUGCAAGCCAAAGUUUGAUUGCGCCUGAACUUUUUCUUAAUUUCAAGCGAAAGCUCUUGCGAACUAGAACUUUAUUAUUGCCUUGGGGGCCUCCCAAAGAAAACAUUCAACAACUUGAUCUGAAAUCAGGUGGGAUUACCCGCUGAACUUAAGCAUAUCAAUAAGCGGAGGA
rnacentral:rRNA from 1 species